CGACGAGGUCACCGAUACUGAAUCCCGCUACAUACCCUUGCCGAUCCGCGAAAGGCGGGAGAACGCGUUUCCAGUGGCGAUAGGUCUCCACCGAAAUGCCGACUGUUUCCCGCAACUGACCAGGUGUAAAUUGCACUGUUUGCUACCCAAUGAAUCUGGGGUGAACCCCCAAAAAAGACCUUACGGUCGCCGCCGUGCGACGUCAAUAUCUUCGUUCUAUUUUUGUUCCGCAUAAAGUUCAGCAAUAUUAAUAUCUUACAUGAAUCUACCUCAACUGA
rnacentral:misc_RNA from 1 species